AUACGGAGGGUGCAAGCGUUGUUCGGAAUCACUGGGCGUAAAGGGCGCGCAGGCGGUUUGGUAAGUCAGAUGUGAAAGCCCACGGCUCAACCGUGGAAGUGCAUUUGAAACUGCCAGACUUGAGUACCAGAGGGGAAAGUGGAAUUCCCGGUGUAGAGGUGAAAUUCGUAGAUAUCGGGAGGAAUACCGGUGGCGAAGGCGACUUUCUGGCUGGAUACUGACGCUGAGGCGCGAAAGCGAGGGGAGCAAACAGGAUUAGAUACCCCAGUAGUCC
rnacentral:rRNA from 1 species